AUGAUAGGUAUUUUUUGGAACAUUAGAGGGCUGAAUGGCCCCAUUAAAGUUGACAAAUUGAAAGAGCUCAUUAGAGGCAAUAGUCCUGAUUUUAUUUGUAUUUCUGAGACCAAGAAAGAAGAAUUUAUUCUUCUACAACUUGAAGCAUUUGAUCCCAGAUCUGAUUUCAAAUGGAAAUGGCUCCCUGCAAUUAACACUGCAGGAGGGAUUUUAAUUGGAUGUAAGGUAGAUCUAUUUGACUUAGUCCAAUGUGAUUUACAUAAUUUCAGUAUUUCUUGCUUACUUAAAAAUAAACAGGAUUCCUCUAUUUGGAGGCAUAUUUCUGUUUAUGGUUCUGCCUAUGACCAGUUCAAAACGGAUUUCAUUAAUGAACUCCACAGCUUGCUAACUGGCUGGAUAGAGCCCACCCUGGUGGGUGGUGAUUUCAAUUUAAUUAGAGAGGCUGGUGAUAAAAACACUGGUGUUAUUAAUCAACACUGGGCUAACCUCUUUAAUGACUGGAUA
rnacentral:rRNA from 1 species